UGAAAUAAAAAAGAAUCCUAACCACAAUUUAAAAAAACUCCAACCAACGUGGUAAAAGAAACGGUUCAUUAUGUGACAGUGUGCGUGAUUCCAUGAAUAUGAGUGCGUGUGUUAUAAUGAAAUCACAUGAUCGUACGGUACCCCUGCCAUUGUGUGUAAGCCACUCAAUUCAUGAAUGGUGGUGGGGGUACUAAGAAGUGACUCAAUGACUUUCAAACCAAAUGUCCUCAAAAAUUUUCGGUGGCCAUAACGAAAAAGGUGAAGUGACGUUAUUGUGAUUGAAUUUAAAGUGUCAUGGUUCUACACAAAAGAAAAUGGUCUUGAUAUAAAAACUCAAAAGUGAACUUAGUUCGGCAAAGUUACCAAAAGAAAAUUAAUAAGAAGGGAAAUUAUGGAAAAUAACUCAAUGAGGAAAAUUACAAAAAUGCACGAAAAAUGUGAAAAAACCAAAUUCUGCCAAGAAAAUGAAAAAAAACAAAAAAAAAUUAAGAAUUUUGUGUGAAAAUUUGAAAAAAAAAAGAAAAGAAAUAAUAAUAAAAAUAAGGAAAACGGAACAAAGAAAAAUAAAUUUCUCUGAAAACGGAGCGAUAUUAAUAUAGCCGAAAACAAAAUUUUAAAUAGAAAUGCAGAACAAAAAAGUUUUUGUCUUUUCCUUAAGCUGGCAAAAAAAAACAAGCAAAAAAACUUAUGAAAAACUAAAAUAAAAUUGCGUGUUCUAUUCGAAAAACAAAAAAAUCAGGGCCAAUAGGAGGGAAUUUUAAAAUAUCAGAAAAUCUUAAAAAAAAACACUAAAGUGAAAAAGAAAUUUAUCCAAAAAAAAUCCUUCAAACAAAACAAACCACUUUCAUAACUAAUUUGAUCUUUUCUUCUUGUCUAUCUUUCCAGGAAACCCACGUCAUGGACCUGCGAACUCGCAACGGCUGCCUCGCUUGAGAGCAUGAGCCAUGCCAUUUGUGGUCUAACGCUGUGGUGUGCCCAAGAUAAACGAACUGGUAAGUAUCAAAUAGAUGGUGCACCUUGGUGUAUCCUCUAUGACUUCUCCUAGCCGCCUCUCAUCACUCACCACGGCAUCCCUCGCCCCAUGUCCAAGAUGCCAUAGCGAUAGAAAGACGGGUCGACCCGACAUACACCGAGGUCGUCAAGAGGCUCUACCGUGGUUGAGUGAUCUCCUGGGGCCGGCAUCGAGAGAUGACAAUCUCUCGUCCGGACAAAACGCCUUCCGCCGCAACUCGCGUUCCAUGUCCAAGAUGCCAUAGUGAUAGAAAGACGGGUCACCCAUUGCGAGGUUGACAGCGAGCUCUCCGGCGGUCGAGGCACCCCAGAGGUUGGCAGAGAGAAGUAGCACGAAUCAGCGCGUAAUCUUGCGCACAUCACACCACGGGACCCCUCUUGGCGGUUCAGCACUCGCGAGAGCGUAAGACCACGAGUCCACUCCAACAACCUCACCUGGACCAUACGGGUAAGUCCAUGGUAAGUAUUAACACCCUUUUACAGCGCCACCCUAAAUCAAAAAUUGCAAAUAUACACCCCAUUGCACAAUUUGUGCACUCGCCCAAGGAUGUAAGCCCAUGGCUUGGAAAUAUACGCACACUUGUAUAUUUGCCCACUACUGCCUUGAACACACACACACACCCACCAUUCGAGAUGAACCUGAGGUAUAAUAUGGGCACGAGGCAAAAAUCAUUCGGACCUCUGCAACGAUCACCACUUAAGUUAAGUAUAAAUCAUAAAAUACAAUUCAAAUCUAAAUUCUCUUCUAAUUCAUUUAGGUCAUCUUAUGCUACAGUUUACCACAAGACGACGGCUGUUCUACAGCUUGUUCCUUACUGCUAUAGAGAUCCCUGGGACUUAAUUCCUCUGCUAUCUAUCACAGGGUACAACUAAAACUAACUAAACCUACAUUAGACCAUGGCUUAAUAUUGGAAACUCCCAGCUACGGAAAUGGAAUUUCAGGUUCGUAUCCAAAAUAUGUUAUCACGGAUGGGGUUAGUGACUUACAGCUGCGGCUUCAUAAACAGUUGAUAAAAAUUGGCAAUUCCACCCAUAACAGGUGUCUAUAUUGCCCAUUGCUGUUGAUUGGUAAUUGGGAUCGUGACUGCUGCCUUCGGACUGUGCUCCAUGGCGACUACAUAAAGCUUUGCAAGUCUUUACCAUGUAGGACUCACAGGAGCUAGGAAUUAAAUUUAUUCGGAAUCGGACGGACAGGCAGAAAGUCAUAAUUUGGGCUAUUGGCUUUAAAACUAUUGUGGAAGAAGGUGGAAAGUGUCUACCAUUGUCUCCCGAGGAAGUCGCAUGGCUCAUCUGGACUCACAGCCACUUCGACACCAGACUUACUUCCCAUGGAGGCUUUGGACGACACUCUGUUAAUACAAAGUAUCAGUGCCUCUUCAAGCUUAGACGUCGCACUCGACUAGCUUGUCUUAUAAUCAAACUGCUGUCGGGACUUACGCAAAACAUAGAAGGAAACCACAAACACAAAUAUUAACAGCCACACAAUUGAAACGGUCAACCCGAUUGCUCGGGCCCCACGUUGGGCGCCAUUUUUUGUCGUGUACCCAAGGGUCCACGUUGCCGUUGGAGUGAGGAGUCGGACUGGCGGGCGCUGGUCGCUGGCAUUCGAGCACCGGCUUUUGGCUCAGUCUUUGGGGCGCGGUUCUUUGCCAAUCCAACCCUCUGGCAAGGUGACAAAAAAAACAAAAUAAACAACCAGCUGUCGGUGGUACGAAACGGACGACAAUAGAACAUUAACAAAACACCCACUGGAACGAACUGGAGGACAUUACGGCUGUGGAAUUGCCUGGCGCCUAAAAUCCUUCAUGGCGCCUCAGGACUUUGCCCACCCCAACCAUGGCACCCCUCGUCCUGUAAUAUUAAGGGUACCCCGUAAUCCAUCACCUGUCUAUCUUUGCCGCUGCUCAGUCACUUACCCCAUAUUCCGAUGCUUUAGCCUUCCAUCAUCCUUUAGAAAUCACCAAG